GCUCGUGGUGACAGCGGAGGAUCAUUACAGAGUUGAAAAACUCCCUAAACCAUCGCGAACGUUACCCUUAACCGUUGCUUCGGCGGGCGGUCCACAAGACCCCCUUGGCCCCCCUUUCGCGGGGGGGGCGCCCGCCGGAGGUCACGUUUUAAACUCUUGAUACCUGUACGGCCUCUCUGAGUAUUCUGUACUGAAUUAAGUCAAAACUUUCAACAACGGAUCUCUUGGUUCUGGCAUCGAUGAAGAACGCAGCGAAAUGCGAUAAGUAAUGUGAAUUGCAGAAUUCAGUGAAUCAUCGAAUCUUUGAACGCACAUUGCGCCCGCCAGCAUUCUGGCGGGCAUGCCUGUUCGAGCGUCAUUUCAACCAUCAAGCCCCCCGGGCUUGUGUUGGGGACCUGCGGCUGCUCCGCAGGCCCUGAAAUACAGUGGCGGGCUCGCUAGUCACACCGAGCGUAGUAGACAUUUUAUCUCGCUCAGGGCGUGCUGCGGGUUCCGGCCGUUAAACCCCCGCCUUCUAACCCAAGGUUGACCUCGGAUCAGGUAGGAAGACCCGCUGAACUUAAGCAUAUCAAUAAGCGGAGGA
rnacentral:rRNA from 1 species